rnacentral:rRNA from 1 species
AUUGAACGCUGGCGGCAGGCCUAACACAUGCAAGUCGAGCGGAUGAAGGGAGCUUGCUCCUGGAUUCAGCGGCGGACGGGUGAGUAAUGCCUAGGAAUCUGCCUGGUAGUGGGGGAUAACGUCCGGAAACGGGCGCUAAUACCGCAUACGUCCUGAGGGAGAAAGUGGGGGAUCUUCGGACCUCACGCUAUCAGAUGAGCCUAGGUCGGAUUAGCUAGUUGGUGGGGUAAAGGCCUACCAAGGCGACGAUCCGUAACUGGUCUGAGAGGAUGAUCAGUCACACUGGAACUGAGACACGGUCCAGACUCCUACGGGAGGCAGCAGUGGGGAAUAUUGGACAAUGGGCGAAAGCCUGAUCCAGCCAUGCCGCGUGUGUGAAGAAGGUCUUCGGAUUGUAAAGCACUUUAAGUUGGGAGGAAGGGCAGUAAGUUAAUACCUUGCUGUUUUGACGGUAACAACAGAAUAAGCACCGGCUAACUUCGUG